AAAUGAGGUUAAGUUAACAAGGGCGCAUGGUGAAUGCCUUGGCACUAGGAGCCGAUGAAGGACGGGACUAACACCGAUAUGCUUCGGGGAGCUGUACGUAAGCUAUGAUCCGGAGAUUCCAAA
rnacentral:rRNA from 1 species